rnacentral:rRNA from 1 species
UACGUAGGGUGCAAGCGUUUGUCCGGAAUUAUUGGGCGUAAAGAGCUCGUAGGCGGUUUGUCGCGUCUGCUGUGAAAACUCGGGGCUCAACUCCGAGCUUGCAGUCGAUACGGGCAGGCUAGAGUUCGGCAGGGGAGACUGGAAUUCCUGGUGUAGCGGUGAAAUGCGCAGAUAUCAGGAGGAACACCGGUGGCGAAGGCGGGUCUCUGGGCCGAUACUGACGCUGAGGAGCGAAAGCGUGGGGAGCGAACAGG